GGGAAAGUGGCUCAGUGGUAGAGCUCUUGCCUUGCAUGCAUGAGGCCCUGAGUUCGAUUCCUCAGCACCA
rnacentral:tRNA from 1 species